rnacentral:rRNA from 1 species
UGGCGACCGGCGCACGGGUGCGUAACGCGUAUGCAACCUACCUUUAACAGGGGAUAACACUGAGAAAUUGGUACUAAUACCCCAUAAUAUCAUAGAAGGCAUCUUUUAUGGUUGAAAAUUCCGAUGGUUAGAGAUGGGCAUGCGUUGUAUUAGCUAGUUGGUGGGGUAACGGCUCACUAAGGCGACGAUACAUAGGGGGACUGAGAGGUUAACCCCCCACAUUGGUACUGAGACACGGUCCAA